GUUAUGUAAAGCCUCCGCUCAAAUGUGAUUGUAAGAUCUGUAACUUGUAUCAUUAAGUUCUGCAACCUUGUUGCAGACUUUGUAACUUCAGUUACUGUUCGCAUAGCCUUUUAAGUUUUGUAACCUUUGCAAGCUCUGUAACCUUUUUAAGUUACCACUUGUAUGAACUGCCAAGCUUUGUAAUAUCCCAUCACUCAAUCAGAGAGAGUGUGAACAAGGGAGUGUGUGUGUGGAAGAUAAGGGGGUGUGAACAAGGGAGUGUAUGGGGGACUGGGCAGAGAGGAACUGCAAGGAGAAAAGAGCCAGGUGUGUCUGAUAUAAUCUGCCCUGAGAAGGCAACCACGGAGUGCUGUAAAGAAAAGAUGCAUGAAAGGAACAGGGACUGGGAAUGCUUCUCGGUGACGGACACAGAAGAAAAACUCGAUGUACUUGACAGGAGUGCCCAGUUCCAAAAUAAAAGGAAGCAGCCACGCACACAAGCUGCUGCUCCUUUACCUGCUCACCAGCCCAGAUCCAUGACUGCAGGGGGACACACCAGAUCUACCACGCUUCGGCUUCUUGGCUUCCCAUGCUGUCUCCGGUAACCCUCUGUUUGUGUGAGUGUGUGGGUACAUGAGGGAAUGAAUGAGGUGAAUGUGAAUAUGAAUGCAGUAUAUAAAUAAGCUUCUUCCCUUUUCUGUCUGACCUAACAGUGGUAUUGUAAUAAAACUAAUACAAGUGUGACCCUGGGUUGGUGUUUUAGGGGAACAGAGGUAACACCAGUAAGCCAACCAGAGGUUAUGUGUCUUUUACACGGGGUGAAGUACUAUGGCCUGUGAUCACGAUAGUCC